UCUCCUCGUUGCCAUCCUCCAUACCACAUGGAAGGAUCUAGAGGGAACUUCUAAGGACUCAGACACCUUAAAGAAUACAGAAACAGGACACAAUUGGAGACACUGGUCCUUUACCGAGGCUUUGGCUGGAAUGAAAUAUUUUCAGAUAUGACCAGAAUGCCUUCAGGAAUUGAGGUGGACCUCACAGAGCUGAUAAAAAGCCCCUCGAAAAGACUGGACUGGUACCAUGUCUAAGUGAUUAUUACAGGGCUUCUGACUUGUAAAAUGCCUCUUAUUAAAGAUCUGUCUUCCUGCAUCAUAUACAGAGGCCUAGCCCAUCUGCAAGGCCACCUCCCGGAACGGGACACGGCUGCCUAACGGAACUGAUCUAUUCCCAGGAGUAAGAGACUGACUGCAGAAGAUAUGGGACAAUAUGUUUAAAUUUGCUCUUUUCUGCUUAUCCCAGUUUGUUUUCUCCCCACUCUUUUGCUUAUGUCUGAUGACCUCUAACCCAAUCUCUCCAAAGCUGUCAACUUGGCUUUUAAUGUGUGAAAACGAGAGGACUGAAGGAAAUUAAAAUAAUUUACCUCAAAAUAUAUUUCUUUGACAUAGUUUGAGAUGGCCGCUAGAGAGCCAGCAGCAGCAGCCCUGCAAGGCUGUCUUUGUGGGGAGAUUUGCAUCUGCAGAAAAUCUGCGCGGACGCAGCCAGGCCCUGCCUUGUCUGGGUCUAGGAAAGAGUAACUGAGAGUGGAAAACUUUAAAGGUAUGAAAGGAAUACUUACCGUUUACCCUCUCUGAGGGCUGCUACUGUGAGGUUCGUCUGUGUAACAAGACCACCUUUGCUAGCCAGGCCUCAUCUUCCCUACUCUCAUAGCCGAGUUUGCCCCCAUCCAAGUGCCCCAUUCUUUCUGUAGCCUCAAGAUGCUGUGUGCACUUCUGCACCCCAUUGGGGCUGGGUGUCACUCUGUGAGGUUUCCCAUGUACACGUUAAUACAUUUUAUAUGACUUUU